rnacentral:lncRNA from 1 species
AGAGAAGCAAUAGAAGUUAGAGAGAGUAAUCCACAUAUUGUAGUCUUUGAGAUAAAUAAUGAGUGCGAGUAAUAUUGUAGUGAUGUAUUUAAAAUAAAGAGUGUUAUUUCUUUCAAAAUUUUAGUAGUCUCUUGACACUACUAAGUUAUAAUAUUAUAGUGAUAAUAUUGCUCCGCUCGGGUAUUAUAUUUUAUCUCGUUAAAAGAGUUGGCGUCGUUGUUACUCUCUUGUAUUAUUAUUAUUUGCCGUGGAUAUUAUUCCUGGUAGGGAUAUUAUUUUUCCCCAACAAUUUAAACAUUAGCAGAAAGAGUAUCGUGUUAUGUACAGAAAAUUUUGCUUCUCUAUCAUCACUGGUUUUUAGCUAGAUGUUGUGUUUGAGUUGUUUUUUCUUUCAAUUUAGUUUUUGCGAGCAUUGAAGAAAAUUCCGUACGAGCAACCAAUUGUGUGUUCGCAAUUUGAUUUCCUUUCGACAAGUGUGCAGGUAAAGCAAUAGUGACAUUUAAGAUCUGCGCGCUAUCGAUAAACUGAUGAAGGUUACAAAUUUGAUUUUCUUCUAUUUUUAUUCAUUGCAGAGAGAUUAUGCACUCCCAGCAGCAGCAUCAACAAAAGAGGAAGACGCAUUAGAGUAGCAUAAUAGCAAUAGCAGCAGUAGCAGCAGCAGCAAUAGUUGUGUGACAUACACGGAAUGUCACCAAAACCAAGCAAGGACUAUAUGUCUAUGUUAUAUCUCUUGUAUAUGUCUAUGUUAUUUCUCUCUGUGUCUAUGUUAUUUCUCUAUGUGUCACAGAAAUCUAUUUUGUCUUAAAAGACCAAAAACAAUUGUUUCUUGAGUUUAUCGAAUUCAACAGUAAUCAUG